rnacentral:rRNA from 1 species
CAGCCGCCGCGGUAAUACGAAGGAUGCAAGCGUUAAUCGGAAUUACUGGGCGUAAAGCGUGCGUAGGCGGUGAGUUAAGUCUGCUGUGAAAUCCCCGGGCUCAACCUGGGAAUGGCAGUGGAUACUGGCUCGCUAGAGUGUGUCAGAGGAUGGUGGAAUUCCCGGUGUAGCGGUGAAAUGCGUAGAGAUCGGGAGGAACAUCAGUGGCGAAGGCGGCCAUCUGGGACAACACUGACGCUGAGGCACGAAAGCGUGGGGAGCAAACAGGAUUAGAUACCCCGGUAGUCCCUGUCUCUUAUAC